rnacentral:rRNA from 1 species
UACGAAGGGGGCGAGCGUUGUUCGGAUUUACUGGGCGUAAAGGGCGCGCAGGCGGCGAUCUUUGUCAGGCGUGAAAGCCCCGGGCUUAACCUGGGAACUGCGCUUGGGACGGGAUUGCUGGAGACCGGGAGAGGAGAGUGGAAUUCCCAGUGUAGAGGUGAAAUUCGUAGAUAUUGGGAAGAACACCGGUGGCGAAGGCGGCGACCUGGUCCGAUACUGACGCUGAGGCGCGAAAGCGUGGGAGCAAACAGG